rnacentral:rRNA from 1 species
UACGUAGGGGCCGAGCGUUGUCCGGAGUUAUUGGGCGUAAAGCGCGCGCAGGCGGCCUCGCGCGCCCGACGUGAAAGCCCCCGGCUUAACCGGGGAGGGUCGUUGGGGACGGCGGGGCUUGAGGGCGGGAGAGGUCGGUGGAAUUCCCGGUGUAGUGGUGAAAUUCGUAGAUAUUCGGAAGAACACCAGUGGCGAAGGCGACUUACUGGACACAUAUUGACGCUGAGGUGCGAAAGCGUGGGGAGCAAACAGG